UACGUAGGGGGCAAGCGUUGUCCGGAUUUAUUGGGCGUAAAGAGCGUGUAGGCGGCCUUACAGGUCAGCUGUGAAAACUCGAGGCUCAACCUCGAGACGUCGGUUGAAACCGUAAGGCUAGAGUCCGGAAGAGGAGAGUGGAAUUCCCGGUGUAGCGGUGAAAUGCGCAGAUAUCGGGAAGAACACCCGUGGCGAAGGCGACUUCCUGGCCUGUUCUUGACGCUGAGGCGCGAAAGCUAGGGUAGCAAACGGG
rnacentral:rRNA from 1 species